GUGCCCUACGAGCGGAGAUAUUGCGACGCAAAGUCCAAAUGUCAAAAAUUUUUUUUAAGAUACUUUCUUCUACGUCAACCGCUCUCAUUCAUUAUAACAUACAUGUAACAAACAGAGAACGUCACUUUCACUUUUUCGACACUGGCAGCUAGCAGCGUUAGUAUCGCAGUGCAGUGCAGUGCAGUGCAGUGCAGACAAGUGUGUUCGUUUAGCGCGCUGUCAGAGUGUCAGUCAGUUCAUCAGUUAUAACCUAUCUCGAGAGAGAUACGGUAGUACGCGCGGUGCGAGACCGACCGUGACUCUUUACACGACGCGACGAUAAAUUCAAGCAGGGAGCUGAUACUGAGAUCAAGGAGCCUGUUCACACGAGGCGUUUCUGCCGCGUGAUUGCGGCCGCGCGUUAACGUUUGCACGAGCCGCACGCUGUCGCGAGGUAUAAGGUGCAACAACGCGCGCAUACGCGCGUACGCGAAACGGCAGUAACACCGUAAUCGUGCCGGCGAUAUACUGAAUUGAAAAUUGAAUUGCUUCGUGCUUAUCCCGAGAUUUCGUAUCCCUACAUCGUGUUACCACCGCUGCCGAAAAAGAAGGUUCUCUACUCUUGGCAGAAAGUGACGACUGACACGUUCGAUCCCGACUUCGUUGAUCGCAGAAGAGCUGGACUCGAGAGGUAUUACAUAUUGACAGCAGAGAGCUGAUACCGAGGAGAUCAAGGAGCCUGUUCACAGGUAUAUAUUGACGGCAGGGAGCUGAUGCCGAGGAGAUCAAUCCCGUUUACGCGUGAAGGAAUUAUCAAGGAACGUGAAAAAGAGCAGGAAAAGGAAAGAGCACUAGCGGCGAAGCAGACAGAAAAGAACAAACAGAAGAGACAGAUUCAAGCUUUGUCUUUUAAUCUGGACGAAGACGAAGAUGAAGCUGAGAUGUCUUCUGACGAAGACAAUGCCGAAAAAUCCCCGCAGUCAGAAAAUGUGCAAUUUGAUGGCCCUGCGAUUAAGAAGAUUUAGAAAAAUACAGAUGUAGAUACAUGUUUUUUGCCAGUAGGGAAAGGGACGAGGAGGAAAAUAAACUUAGGGAAGAAUUGAGACAAGAAUGGGCUAGAAAGCAGAACGCGUUGAAGGAAGAAGAAAUUGAGAUCACAUUCAGUUAUUGGGAUGGAUCUGACCAUCGUCGGAGUGUUAUAAUGAAGAAAGGUAAUUCUAUCUAUUAGGUUCUUCAGAGAUGUUUAGAAGUUCUGCGGCGUGAAUUCAGCGAGCUUAAAACAGUAAUGGCAGAUCAGUUAAUGUAUGUCAAGUAGAAUCUUAUAUUACCGCACCAUUAUACGUUUUACUGCAACUAUAACUGAUUUUAUUGUAACUA